AUUUACUGUAAUGUAGAUAUGAUGGUCAAUCCUGUUGGUGUCCACAAUAGUUCUCUCUCUGGGGCAGUGGGCAUAGUGGUAACAGCAUGUGUUUAAGAGUCAGGGAGACCUUGAUUUGCAUCCCAAUAUGGCCUCCUCUAGCUCUAGGACCUGGGACAAGCUAAUCAAACUCAUCUGCAAAAUGUGAAUAAUGAUCGUCAUAGAGUGGGUUUGCAGAUUAAAUACUGUAUAAGCCUCACAAGUACCCCAGGAGGUGGUUACUCUGAAUACCUCUAUUUUACUAAUGAAAUUAGCAACUUGUCCAUGAACAUACGGCUAGCAAGUCUGACCUGGGAGCCUGCAUCUGGGAUUUUGGCCACUCCAUUCUGCUAAGCUGGUAUGAGUUGUAGAAGCGGUACAUUAUUGUAUAGGAGCUGUAAUCACUGAUCAGGAUAGGUGGAAAAUGCUUACACCCCAUCACAUCUUUCUCUGUGAGAGCUGAGGAUGUCUGUGGACCUCUAGAAGAACAGGUGGAACAGAAACCCAGGUGAGGCAGUGGGGCCCACCAAGAAGUUACAGGUAGAAGACGGCAGUGAAGUGAGCUGACCACCCCAGCAGCAUUGGUGUGCUCCAACAUAGAAGAUGACAGGAGUCACAGUGUGUGAUAUGCAUGCAUUCUUAUUGAGGAACAUUGAGGGACUUUGGCCUCUAGAAAAUUACCUAUGUUCCAAUAAAAC
rnacentral:lncRNA from 10 species